GCGGUGGUAGUUCAGUGGUAGAAUCCUCACCUUCCAUGUGGGAGACCCAGGUUCGAUUCCCAGCCGGUGCA
rnacentral:tRNA from 1 species